rnacentral:misc_RNA from 1 species
AUCAAACCCCUCCAGAUUUGGUUCUUUGGAUCAGCUUCUUCCAUCUCUCGUUAUCCAAGCUCCUCUGGUUGUUUAUGGAGCUUCAGAAGCGCCUAGAUCAUAGUCUCCCAGAGAGGAAAGGCCAUAAGCGGAAACUGGAGGAGGAAUUUGAAGAGGAACGGGAGAUCUCUGUACCUACAGGGGACGCCAAGCAAGCGUUACUCACCGAGGUCAGUGAUCAAGUUGAAAUUCUCAAUUCCACUUUUUCAUGGAAGGAAGCCGAUCGAGCUGCUGCUAAGCGAGCUACUCAUGUUCUUGCCGAGCUUGCUAAGAACGAAGAAGUAGUAAACGUGAUUGUGGAAGGUGGAGCCGUGCCGGCUUUAGUCAAGCAUCUACAAGCACCGCCUACUGUUGAAGGUGAUCGCAGUCUUAAGCCAUUCGAGCACGAGGUUGAGAAAGGAAGUGCUUUUGCUCUUGGACUACUGGCUGUAAAGCCAG